CCUCCUACGGGAGGCAGCAGUAGGGAAUAUUCCGCAAUGGAGGAAAGUCUGACGGAGCAACACCGCGUGAGUGAUGAAGGUUUUCGGAUCGUAAAGCUCUGUUGUUAGGGAAGAACAAGUGCCGUUCAAAUAGGGCGGCACCUUGUCGGUACCUAACCAGAAAGCCCCGGCUAAAUACGUGCCAGCACCCGCGGUAAUAUGUAGGUGGCAAGCGUUGUCCGGAAUUAUUGGGCGUAAAGGGCUCGCAGGCGGUUUCUUAAGUCUGAUGUGAAAACCCCCGGCUCACCCGGGGAGGGUCAUUGGAAACUGGGGAACUUGAGUGCAGAAGAGGAGAGUGGAAUUCCACGUGUAGCGGUGAAAUGCGUAGAGAUGUGGAGGAACACCAGUGGCGAAGGCGCCUCUCUGGUGUGUAACUGUCGCUGAGGAGCGAAAGCGUGGGGAGCGAACAGGAUUAGAUACCCUGGUAGUCCACGCCGUAAACGAUGAGUGCUAAGUGUUAGGGGGUUUCCGCCCCUUAGUGCUGCAGCUAA
rnacentral:rRNA from 1 species